AGAGUUUGAUCAUGGCUCAGGAUGAACGCUGACAGAAUGCUUAACACAUGCAAGUCUACUUGAACUUCGGUUUGGGUGGCGGACGGGUGAGUAACGCGUAAAGAACUUGCCUCACAGUUAGGGACAACAUUUGGAAACGAAUGCUAAUACCUGAUAUUAUGAUUUUAGGGCAUCCUAAGAUUAUGAAAGCUAUAUGCGCUGUGAGAGAGCUUUGCGUCCCAUUAGCUAGUAGGAGAGGUAACGGCUCACCAAGGCGAUGAUGGGUAGCCGGCCUGAGAGGGUGAACGGCCACAAGGGGACUGAGACACGGCCCUUACUCCUACGGGAGGCAGCA
rnacentral:rRNA from 1 species